rnacentral:rRNA from 1 species
AGAGCGAACGCUGGCGGCAGGCCUAACACAUGCAAGUCGAGCGCCCGUAGCAAUACGGGAGCGGCAGACGGGAUAGUAACACGUGGGAACGCGCCCUUCGGUUCGGAAUAACUCAGGGAAACUUGAGCUAAUACCGGAUACGCCCUUACGGGGAAAGAUUUAUUGCCGAAGGAACGGCCCGCGUCCGAUUAGCUAGUUGGUGAGGUAAUGGCUCACCAAGGCUACGAUCGGUAGCUGGUCUGAGAGGAUGACCAGCAUCACUGGGACUGAGACACGGCCCAGACUCCUACGGGAGGCAGCAGUGGGGAAUAUUGGACAAUGGGCGCAAGCCUGAUCCAGCCAUGCCGCGUGGAUGAUGAAGGCCUUAGGGUUGUAAAGUCCUUUUAACGGGGAAGAUAAUGACGGUACCCGUAGAAUAAGCCCGGCUAACUUCGUGCCAGCAGCCGC